CAGGAAUUUGCCGUUAGGACUACACAUGCUAGUCGAACGGCAGCACUGAGGAGCUUGCUCCUUGGGUGGCGAUAGGCGGACGGGUGAGGAAUGCAUCGGAAUCUGCCUAUUUGUGGGGGAUAACGUAGGGAAACUUACGCUAAUACCGCAUACGUCCUACGGGAGAAAGUGGGGGACCGCAAGGCCUCACGCAGAUAGAUGAGCCGAUGCCGGAUUAGCUAGUUGGCGGGGUAAAGGCCCACCAAGGCGACGAUCCGUAGCUGGUCUGAGAGGAUGAUCAGCCACACUGGAACUGAGACACGGUCCAGACUCCUACGGGAGGCAGCAGUGGGGAAUAUUGGACAAUGGGCGCAAGCCUGAUCCAGCCAUGCCGCGUGUGUGAAGAAGGCCUUCGGGUUGUAAAGCACUUUUGUCCGGAAAGAAAAGCAUUCGAUUAAUACUCGGGUGUUAUGACGGUACCGGAAGAAUAAGCACCGGCUAACUUCGUGCCAGCAGCCGCGGUAAUACGAAGGGUGCAAGCGUUACUCGGAAUUACUGGGCGUAAAGCGUGCGUAGGUGGUUUGUUAAGUCUGAUGUGAAAGCCCUGGGCUCAACCUGGGAACUGCAUUGGAUACUGGCUUACUAGAGUGCGGUAGAGGGUAGCGGAAUUCCCGGUGUAGCAGUGAAAUGCGUAGAUAUCGGGAGGAACAUCCGUGGCGAAGGCGGCUACCUGGACCAGCACUGACACUGAGGCACGAAAGCGUGGGGAGCAAACAGGAUUAGAUACCCUGGUAGUCCACGCCCUAAACGAUGCGAACUGGAUGUUGGGUGCAACUAGGCACUCAGUAUCGAAGCUAACGCGUUAAGUUCGCCGCCUGGGAAGUACGGUCGCAAGACUGAAACUCAAAGGAAUUGACGGGGGCCCGCACAAGCGGUGGAGUAUGUGGUUUAAUUCGAUGCAACGCGAAGAACCUUACCUGGCCUUGACAUGCACGGAACUUUCCAGAGAUGGAUUGGUGCCUCCGGGAACCGGAACACAGGUGCUGCAUGGCUGUCCUCAGCUCGGUGUCCUGAGAUGUUGGGUUAAGUCCCGCAACGAGCGCAACCCUUGUCCUUAAUUGCCAACACGUAAUGGGGGGAACUCUAAGGAAACCCCCGGUGACAAACCGGAGGAGGGUGGGGAUGACGCCAGGUCCUCCGGGCCCUUACGGCCGGGGUUCCCCACUUACUACAAUGGUGGGGACAAAAGGCUGCAACCCCUGGAGGGCAAUCCAAUCCCGAAACCCUUUCCUUAGUCCGGUUUGGAGUCCGCCACUCAACCCCAUGAAGUGGGUAUCCCCAGCAAUCCUAAUCCC
rnacentral:rRNA from 1 species